rnacentral:rRNA from 1 species
AUUGAACGCUGGCGGAAUGCUUUACACAUGCAAGUCGAACGGCAGCACGGACUUCGGUCUGGUGGCGAGUGGUGAACGGGUGAGUAAUACAUCGGAACGUGCCCAGUCGUGGGGGAUAACGUAGCGAAAGCUACGCUAAUACUGCAUACGAACUAAGGAUGAAAGCGGGGGAUCGCAAGACCUCGCGCGAUUGGAGCCGACGAUGGCAGAUUCGGUAGUUGGUAGGGUAAAGGCCUACCAAUCCGACGAUCUGUCGCUGGUCUGAGAGGAGGAUCAGCCGCACUGGGACUGAGAUACGGCCCAGACUCCUCCGGGAGGCAGCAGGGAGGAAUUUUGGACAAUGGGCGCAAGCCUGAUCCAGCCAUUCCGCGUGCAGGAUGAAGGCCUUCGGGUUGUAAACUGCUUUUGUACAGAACGAAAAGGCUCUGGUUAAUACCCGGGGCUCAUGACGGUACUGUAAGAAUAAGCACCGGCUAACUACGUGCCAGCCGCCGCCGUAA